GUGAAAAAAAAUUUUAAAAAAAAUACCUAUUUCAUUAUUUCGUUACAUCAUAAUCAGUGUACUAUCAUAAUAUGAGUCCCACAUCAGUUCAGUGGAAAAUCUGCCACUCAUAGUAAAAGCAGUGCUACCUAAUGUUAUUUUGUUCUCACAAUAUCAAUUUAUAAAAAAAAAUCUACUAAUUGAUACAAGUAACAAUAUAAUAAUAUACAUAUAUUAAAAUGUAUAAAUAAUAAACUCGAAAUAGUAAAAUAAAUGUUUAAUUACAUGAGAUAUAUUGGUUUUACAAAGAUAUUUUUUUUUUUUUUAUAUAUUGUAACAAAAAUGUCUACCAGUAAUCUUACCUCGAAAUGUAUGUGUGGCACUAUUUUUUAAAAGAAGUAUUGUUUAGAAUCUAGAUAUUUCAAAGUACUACCUAGAGUCUAGAUAAUACUUUAGGAGAUCAUUUUUUGAUCAAUAUAUUGUGUUUGAUUUUUUCAUUUUCGCUAUUUUGGAGAUGCACUAUUACAUAAAUAUAAUAAAAAAAAAAGAUGUGCAUGCUUCCCACAUGGGUGCAGUCACUGUUGUAGAUAAGAAAUUGGGAAGGUAGGAUACAGAAUGGAAUUUAAUGUAUACCUGUAAGGAACGAUAAACCAUUGCUAACUAAAUAACCAUUCUGAGCGAAGUUCAGUUGAUAGUGAAGUUCUGUCAUCAAUAAUAUUAUAUAUGUCAUAUUAGACAUAUAAACUUUUCAAUGUUUUUUUUUUUUUUUUUGAUUUUUCACAUUUGAAAAGAAAACUUCUGAGGAAAAAAAAU